ensembl:lincRNA
GCGCGGCCGUCCUUCCCCUCCUCCCGGGGUGCCACCCCGGCGCCACCGCGGGCCGAUCUCACGACGGGCGCCCGCGGCCCCUGCCCGGCACCUCUGCCGCCAGGCCUUACGCGCCCGCCGCUGCCUGCCUGUCUCUGCCUGAGUCUCUGCCUCUGCGUGUCUCGCCUGUCUCUGCCUGUCUCUGCCCGUGUGUCUGCCUGCAUCUCUGUCUGUGCCUCUGCCUGUGUCUGUGUGUCUGCCUGUCUCUGCCUGUCUCUCUGUCUCUGUCUGCCUGUGUCUUUGCCUGUGCCUGCAUCCUCACGCUGUCUGAGUCUGAUUCUGUCUCAGCACCUCUCUCUCUCCUCCUCUCUCCCUCUCUCCCUCUCUCUCUCCACCCCGAGUCUCUGCUCCUUGUUUCCUUCCCCUCUUCCUGGCCACCCCCAGCUCCCAGUAACCGGGACUCUCCCAGGGUUCCCCAAGUCCAGUACUUUUUUGUUCGUUUUUGUUUCCAGUCCUGAGGGCUGAACCCAGGACUUUCACACUGUGCUGCAUCCCCAGCUCUUUUUUGAGACCGGAUCCCUCUGAGCAUCUAAAUCGCCUCCUAAUCCCCAGCUCCAACUGGCGAUCCUCGUGCCUCAGCCUCCCAGAGUGCUUUUGCUGAAGACUUGGGACACCCGGGCCUCAGCCACUUUCCCCGACCCCAAGGGCCAUCCCAACACCCACAUCCAUCCCACCCCAACCCUCCCCGACCUACCAUUCCCCAGAAACCUGGGCCUUUCCUGCCCUUCCACCCCCACCCAGUUACCGGAUGCUUCCGGUCAGAAGACCCUUGGGACCCUACAAGCAGAAGCCUGGGAAGUCCACAUGGAGAAAUUCCCCGUAGAGCCAGGGACACUCUUCAGCGUCGAAGGAAACUCAAAUUUCCCGUUUGUUCUCACCGGCUGGAGGCGGAGCGGGAGGAGGAGCAGCGGAGAGGCCAAAACCUGGCCUGGAAAGGGGAAUUGAAAGUCCCACCGUCCCAUCUCAGUUGCUGCCAAUACCACACCAACCCUGAGGGUGCGUGCGGUAAAGCAGGAUUGGCUAAAAGUAAAAGUUACAGAAGACAGCUCCCUUCUCCAUCAAAGCCCUGCCCCGGAGCCCUCCAAGAGAGGGGGAAAUGAUGACCUGUCUGGAUCUGUUAAAAUGCAAUCAAAAUUAAAUCUCUCCUCCUUAAAAAAGAGAGAGAGAGAGAGAGAGAGAGAGAGAGAGAGAGAGAGAGAGAGAGAGAGAAAUACAAUCAACGCUACGGAGAAACGAAGUGUUAAUGGAACUUCCAGUGUGAAUAUUGUAACUGAGAUACCACAGCGCCCCCUUGCGCUCUGCCUACGCUGACGUCUGGCGCCUCUGCCAAGCAGCCCCCAGCCGCGUGCCGCAGGGAUUGCCCAAGUGACAACGGGGACAGGAAGAGGAACUGAGAGGGCUACAGAAAGAUCCCUCUGAUAACCCGAGUGAAAGCACACCCAGCAGCUGGAUGUCACCCAUGUCACCCCGCCGCAGUUCACACCGCCCGAAGGUCCCGCGCUGUUUAUUCGCUUAUGAUUGCUUUCCUCCAUCACUUGUGAGCUCCUGAGUAGGAGGUUUAUCUGCUUUAUUCCCAGGCACCGCUGCUUCCUGUGGGCCUCGAUCAUCUUUAUAAGAGGAAGGAAGGAAGAGGAGAGAGGAAGAGGAAGGAGGGAAGAAAGAAGGGAGAGAAAGAGGGAAC